rnacentral:rRNA from 1 species
UUCCUUGCCGCCACGCCGGGGUUAAUACGGGGGGUGGAAAGCGUUAAUUGGAAAUUAUUGGGGGAAAAAGGCGCCCGCAGGCGGGUUUUUCAAUUCGAAUGUGAAAUCCCCGGGGUUCAACUUGGGAACUGCAUCGGAAACUGCCAGGCUAGAGUCUUGUAGAGGGGGGUAGAAUUCCAGGUGUAGCGGUGAAAUGCGUAGAGAUCUGGAGGAAUACCGGUGGCGAAGGCGGCCCCCUGGACAAAGACUGACGUUCAGGUGCGAAAGCGUGGGGAGCAACCAGGAUUAGAUACCCUGGUAGUCCACGCGGUAAACGAUGUCGACUUGGAGGUUGUUCCCUUGAGGAGUGGCUUCCGGAGCUGCCGCGUUAAGUCGACCCCAUGGGGAGUACGGCCGCAAGGUUAAAACUCAAAUGAAUUGACGGGGGCCCGCCCAAGCGGUGGAGCAUGUGGUUUAAUUGGAUGCAACGCGAAGACCCUUACUUACUCUUGCCAUCCAGGGAAUUUAGCAGAGAUGCUUUGGUCCCUUCGGGAAUUUUGAGCCAGGUGCUGCAUGGCGGUCGUCAGCUCGUGUUGUGAAAUGAACCCUUAAGUCCCGCAACGAGCGCAACCCUUAUCCUUUGUUGCCAGCGGUUAGGCCGGGAACUCAAAGGAGACUGCCAGUGAUAAACUGGAGGAAGGUGGGGAUGACGUCAAGUCAUCAUGGCCCUUACGAGUAGGGCUACACACGUGCUACAAUGGCAUAUACAAAGAGAAGCGACCUCGCGAGAGCAAGCGGACCUCAUAAAGUAUGUCGUAGUCCGGAUUGGAGUCUGCAACUCGACUCCAUGAAGUCGGAAUCGCUAGUAAUCGUAGAUCAGAAUGCUGCGGUGAAUACGUUCCCGGGCCUUGUACACACCGCCUGUCACGGCAUGGGAGUGGGUUGCAAAAGAAGUAGGUAGCUUAACCUUCGGGAGGGCGCUAUCUAGCUGU